AAUAGAUACCCUGGUAGUCCAUGCCGUAAACGAUGUCUACUAGCCGUUGGGGCCUUUGAGGCUUUAGUGGCGCAGCUAACGCGAUAAGUAGACCGCCUGGGGAGUACGGUCGCAAGACUAAAACUCAAAUGAAUUGACGGGGGCCCGCACAAGCGGUGGAGCAUGUGGUUUAAUUCGAUGCAACGCGAAGAACCUUACCUGGUCUUGACAUAGUAAGAACUUUCCAGAGAUGGAUUGGUGCCUUCGGGAACUUACAUACAGGUGCUGCAUGGCUGUCGUCAGCUCGUGUCGUGAGAUGUUGGGUUAAGUCCCGCAACGAGCGCAACCCUUUUCCUAUUUGCCAGCGGGUUAAGCCGGGAACUUUAAGGAUACUGCCAGUGACAAACUGGAGGAAGGCGGGGACGACGUCAAGUCAUCAUGGCCCUUAGACCAGGGCUACACACGUGCUACAAUGGUCGGUACAAAGGGUUGCUACCUAGCGAUAGGAUGCUAAUCUCAAAAAGCCGAUCGUAGUCCGGAUUGGAGUCUGCAACUCGACU
rnacentral:rRNA from 1 species